rnacentral:rRNA from 1 species
GGGAGGGAGAGUAGGAGGGAGAUGGAGGAUGUUGAAGGUCUGAUGAGGGGGCUGAAGCUAUCGGCGGCGGAGAGGAGGGGGCUAAGGAUCGGGCAAGCGAAGAAGGGGAAGGACUGUGUAUGGGCACUUGAUGAUCCACAAGCAGUAGGGAAACUACUCUCUGAGAAACCGGCACAUGCAGGCGUGUUGGGACAAACGCUUGGAAGAAUCUGGUUCCCUAUCAAGGGGCUUGAGUGUAAGGAACUGGAAACCAAUGUGUUCCUCUUCACCUUUCGCUAGGUGUAUGGAUGGAAGCGGGCCAUCGAGGAAGGGUCGUGGUGGUUCGACAAGGAGCUCCUUGUGAUGGAGGAGUUUGAUCCAGAGAAGACGGUGGAUGAGUACGAGUUUAAUUUGAUCCCCAUGUGGAUCCGUGUGUUCGGUCUGCCACUCGGAUAUAUGAACCGGGCGACUGGAGAGCGUAUUGGUGCUGACUUUCACGAUCUAGUUGAUGUGGAUGUGGGACAUGAUGGAAAGGCUGUGGGGAAGUAUUUGCGCGUGAAGGUCAAGCUGGAUAUUAAGGAAUCACUGAUGAGAGGAUUCGUGUUGGAUCGAGGGGAGAAGAAGGGAAGUGAUGAUGUAGAGGAAAUGGAGGUUACGGGUGACAUCAAGAAGAAGAAGAAAAAAAGACCUUUUUGUGGUGUCGAUUUGAGUACGAAUACUUGCCGGACUUCUGUUAUACGUGUGGUGUAA